AUUCAGCUGACAAGUCCCAAAUAAGGGGAAACGCGCGUCUUGAAC
rnacentral:hammerhead_ribozyme from 1 species